GUUGAACGCUGGCGGCAUGCCUUACACAUGCAAGUCGAACGGUAGAGGGGGCAACCCCUUGAGAGUGGCGAACGGGUGAGUAAUGCAUCGGAACGUGCCCAGUAGGGGGGGAUAGCCCGGCGAAAGCCGGAUUAAGACCGCAUACGAACUACGGGUGAACGCGGGGGACCUGCGAGCCUAGCGCUAUUGGAGCGGACGAUGUCAGAUUAGCUAGGUGGUGGGGUAAAGGCCCACCAAGGCGACGAUCUGUAGCUGGUCUGAGAGGACGAUCAGCCACACUGGAACUGAGACACGGUCCAGACUCCUACGGGAGGCAGCAGUGGGGAAUAUUGGACAAUGGGCGCAAGCCUGAUCCAGCCAUACCGCGUGGGUGAAGAAGGCCUUCGGGUUGUAAAGCCCUUUUGUUGGGAAAGAAAUCCUGUCGGUUAAUAACCGGUGGGGAUGACGGUACCCAAAGAAUAAGCACCGGCUAACUUCGUGCCAGCAGCCGCGGUAAUAC
rnacentral:rRNA from 1 species